AACACAAGUAGAAGAUGACCACCAACCAUGGUUUCUGAAUAAACUGAGUUCAAAGUGCAUCUGGUUGCAGCAGGGGGCUUCCUUGGACUCUGAUACUAGAAAUUUAACAAAGGCUCCUCCUGGCUGUUACACUUUCUCAGACCUUCCUUGAUUUUGAUGACCUCGAAGUUUUGAGGAGUACUGGGAAAGAGUAUUAUAGGAUGCCCCCUACUGGAAUUUGUCAGAUGUUUUUCUCAUGAUUAUACAGGGAUUAUGGCUUUUGGGGAGGAAGAUCUCAGAGGGUCUCACCAUGUUGCCCAGGCUGAUCUCAAACUCCUGAACUCAAGCAACCCUCCUGCUUUGGCCUCCCAAAGUAUUGGUAUUACAGGUGUGAGCCACCACACCUGGCCCACAGGACAUGGAUUCUGAACAACUGGCAUAAAUCGACUGGCCUCAAG